rnacentral:rRNA from 1 species
UACGUAGGAGGCGAGCGUUGUCCGGAAUUACUGGGCGUAAAGAGCGCGUAGGCGGCGCUGUACGACCCGUGUGAAAGCCCCCGGCUCAACUGGGGAGGGUCACGCGAUACUGCUCGACUCGAAGGCAGGAGAGGGAAGUGGAAUUCCCGGUGUAGUGGUGAAAUGCGUAGAUAUCGGGAGGAACACCAGUGGCGAAGGCGACUUCCUGGCCUGUUCUUGACGCUGAGGCGCGAAAGCUAGGGUAGCAAACGGG